GAACUGACUCUCAGCCACGGAGAUGUUCGCCAGAGCCAUUCCUGCGGCGAGUCCUUCCGCAAGUGUGUGAUUCCACUCAUGAAAGACUCUUUACAAAUCUCCAGUGGAUGUCAUUAGAGAGGAGGAGGAGAGGUCGGGGGUGAUCGACAGGGCUGUAGACUGGUAGCGUCCGUUGUAUAUGGCCGGUCUGCACUCGGAUCAGCGCCACGAGUUCAGAGCCAACUGAGAACCAUGCAGCCCGGUCAACAUACGUGCCGGUCCCAAUGCCCCCGCGGAUGCGAGAGAGGAUGAGUGGCGAUGUCCGGGUGGAAUCUGCUUUAAAGCACAUAUUGGCCGGGAUUUAUCAUCCAACUAGAGCCAGUUGGAUGGAGCUGGAGCUGGAGCCACGCAACGCCAUGGGUCCGGAUCCAACGUUGGACCGUCCUCUGACUAUCCUGCCGCUGACAAACAGAAACUGUAGAUGACAGCCAGUCUGACAGUUUACAUUGAAAAGAAAGGUCAUAUGACAAAUUAAAACAAUUUUCAAUGAGAUCAGUAUUACACCUUUGAUGAAAAUAUUUGUUCAUGGAAAGAAAAAAGCAAUAAAAAAAGAGAAAUGCUUAUAACACAUGGACCUAAAACUGAGUCCUCAGAUCUGGGUUAAAACAAAAAGGGUUUUACUUAUUUCUAGGGUUGUAAAAGAUAUAGACGCGUAUUGAAAAAUCAAUAUAGAUUUGAGAUUAACAUCAGCAUUGGUUGAAAACCACAGAAAUAAACAAAUGAUGUUGGUGAAAAGGUGUAAAAUCCAUUGGGAAGUAAAUAUUUGAUUUAGUCAGUUUCUCUUCCUGUUGUGCCUCUGCUGUGUCAUUUUUAUGUACAUGUGAUGCAAACAAAAAGAUGUAAGAUGUAUUCUUACAUCUACCAAGUUGGGUGUCAGUAAGAACAAAAAAUAGUUCAGGCAUUUUCAGUUUUAGUUUAAAUGCCAGAUGAAUAUCAUACCUCUAGAUCAGAGAUAGGCAACUCUAGGUCUUGAGGGCUGCAGCGUCUCUAUGAUUUCCAGAUAUUCAAGUCAUACUCAUGACUGAUUACCUGGUUCAUGCGUCCAGCCAAUUAGCAUAUGCCAGACCAGGGGAUGUUGGAAUACAUGGAGGAUUGCGACCCUCAGUGAAUGCACAUCAAACAGCUCAUCACACAAUUAUACUAUGCACUGAUGCAGACAUUUUUCUUUUUUUUUAUCUGCUAGUGUCAAAGUGUUUUAAAAUGGUUUCAUUCAUUCAUUCAUUCAUUCAUUCAUUCAUUCAUUCCUUAAAGCUCCUGGACUUGUUUUUGAAGUUUCCAGAGCCUUUGAUCUGACAGCUCGCUCACCUGUUCAUCUCCAAUCCUGCUUCUUGAGUGCAGUCCAAGUCUCUGUGUGGCUCGCAGCGUAAAUCAGAUGCCGACACAAAGCCCUGAAAGGGGGUCUGGUCCCCUGACUCCCCAGGGCUCUUUGUUCAAAGUUGGACUUGGAUGCUCCUGCUGUUUGAGAAGAAGGACUUUUCAGCUAGGCCGUAAGGCGAUCCUGGGCCUUUCCUGGCCUGGGUGUGCCCUGGGCGUCUCUGAUUUACCCGCGGGACCAGCAGGGGUGGGGCUGUCUUCACUGGGAGUAGUGAGGAGGAAAAAAGCAGCUGGUCAGUGGAAGUGGAAGAGAGACAGAAAGCGGAGUUGCAGGGAUUGAUGUAAGGCGAGAACUCUGAGAAAGGACAAAUAAACAAAGGUGGCGAUGAGGGUCUGAUGUGAAUUAAUUGUAUCAAGCUCUUUCUCUUUUAAGCUUCAGUCUCCAGGGGAAGCAGCACAGGGAACAGGAGACAACAGAAACACCCCCGGAGAGCCCGACUGCUUACCAAGAGUCAAUACAUCUCAAAUCAUGGCAUUGCUGCUACAUUUUUCCCUUUCCGCCUCUGCGAUCUCUAAUUUGACCAAUUUAUGGUGACUUUUUCAACAGUGCCAUCACCAAGAUACAGUAGCAGUAGCAUUUUUCAUCAGUUCUUGCACAGAACUAACAUGAGAGCAUACAUUUCCCCACCAUGUAUCUAUCAAUAUUUUAUAGUUCCACAAACUGAAAUGUUACAGUAUACAUGUGCAGGAUUAAACUUUUUCAGAAUUGUAAUUAUACUCAAGUUGUUACCUAUUUUUCUGUAUUAAAAGCUACUUUUGGAGAGUCAAGAUCUCAAACGAUGAAAAUAACAAGAUUUUGGAGACGUCUGUCAGAUACUUUGAACCCUUUUAAACAAAUGGACACAAUUUUAAAACGUAAAAGAAACCAAAAACAAAGAAGUUUACCAAUUUCCAAUGAAUAAAGUUUUAGUUCUUUAACAUGCAAUGUGUGUAAAGUUAAGGACAAAAAAGCACCCUGCUUUAAUUUUGUUGGGGUAAAAAACAGAUUUUCUAUGAUUAAUUAAUGUAUAAAAAAUAUGCCCAAAUCAUAUGGCUUGACUGUUUCUUCCUAACUCUCUAAAUUGAAUUUAAUAAUGAAUAUUUGCUUCACAUCUUGUUUCCAAAUCGCUUUGGCUGAAAAUUAAAUAAAUGGCUAAAUUUUAGGUUUUCUUGAGCUCAUUUCGAAUAAGUUACUUCUUGACUUUUAAAAAUGGAAAUAACAGAUGUGCUAAGGUGGUAAAGGCCAAUAUAAAAGCUUGUCCAGCCCGCUCACUAUGAACCUGAUAUCAUUUCUCUCAUUUUCCUUCGAAAAGUCUGACUCCAAUCAUCUUUUGAUCUAUUUUAAAAGCAUUCUCAGGAGUCUUUUAAUUAUGAUCAUGCCGUUUUUAACUUUUUUUACUAUUUAUUCUCAUCUCCAACUCAACUAAAUCUAGUUGUUUACAAGUGGAUGGAUCAGAAUGGAAUGGAGCUUGCGGCUCAUCCAGUAAUUUUUCUACAUUAAAAAUACAAUAUUUUAA